rnacentral:lncRNA from 1 species
GGCCACCUUGACCAUGGAUUACUGUCAUGUGUUUGCUAAGCAGUGAUAAGAAUAGUGCAUAAAAGGAUGGUUUUAUUGUGUGACAUGAUGGUUUUAUUGUUCUCUACUUAUAGAGUUAGGGUUAGUGCUUUAAGAAGGGAGAAGAGUAGCCAUCUCUUGAGAGUUGCUCAUUGAGAUUUUGUUGGGUAAAUGCUCAAGCCAAGCCCAAUUUUCGUUUCUGUUCAUGGGUUCUAGAUUGAGUCCUUGCUUAUCACACAUAGAAGUUGAUUUGGGAGCUGUAACCUUGGAGGAAGCUUGAGAAAGGUUAAUACAUGAAUGUCAAAGCUAGAACAGAGGUGUAGAGACAAAAUUUCGUUCAUUUAGAAGGGAUUAGGAGAAUGGAGGUGUUGCUGUACUUUCUGCAUAAUGGGUGUUGUUUCUUCAUCUCUAGAAACCAACAAAACUGUUUUGAUUUCUCAACAAACACUAGAGCUGAUAGUUGUUGCUU